GCGCCAUCCACUCAACAUAGUUCCAUUCUAAGCCAGCUCAGCACAGACUCCCUUUUCUACCCGCUUCCAUUGUCUUCGCAUUACGUUUACAAUUUGAUUUGCUUAUGUAAAUUAUGAAGAUUGCCCACAGAAGCAACCGCAGAUCCGAGGAUUCAAAAAUUCAAUUCGAUUUGCCGGCUCAGCCCGAAAAUGCAACCGAAAAAAGGAAAAAUUGCGUUCUUCUGUAAUUUGAAACAAAUCAAAUUUAUUGCCCCAGACGCAGCGGCGCCAUUGGCAAUUUUCAGAUGCGGCCAGAUGCGGUGAGCAUAUGAAAUGAGCCGGGGAAGGGGGUUGGAAUUGGUUUACUCUACGUGCAUAUUCAGAUACGGGCCCCGAACGCUCACAUAUUCUAAUUAGAUUUAUAACGCAACAAUAACUGUGCUCUUCCUCCAUUACUCCCCUCCUCCUCGACCAGAUUUUCAAAUUUAAAACUUUCCAUGAAUUAUGGUCAGAGUCCGGACAAAAAGGGGUUGGACAAGUGCACUCACAAAAGAGUCUGUGCAGAGCAAAAAAAUAUACAGAGGAAAUAUUCCGAUAGAAAAUGGAAUAUUAAAAAGGAAAUUAAGCUGUUAAAAAUCUUCGGUAAAUUUAAAUGCAUUUAAAGAACUUAAAACUGUAAGUGCUGGUUCAAUUUGUGUUUUUUAAGGUUUUUUUUUUAACUCAAUAUAUUUUUUCUGCGUGCACAUAGUCAAGUACAAAGAUAAACCAACAUAGAUAGGUCCCUCCGCCAAUAAACUUUUCGUGGAAAUCGGUUGAGUCAUGCCAUAUUAGUGUUCUAACCCUCCUUGGUUUUUCGAAGCCUCCUGCUACUGUCAUCCUCCUCAUUUAAUGCUGUGUGACGCGUGUUACAGAUUUUCGAUUUAGCACACACCCAGAGACAUUUUUUCUGGGAUCCCUUCCCCGAACUAAAAAUUAGCCUCGAACAGAAAUGGACGAAAAAAAAAGUUUCAUAUUACAUGCAAGCAAUUUGGCAAAUAAACUGUCAGCAGCACUGAGGGAUAUAGAAAAACGAGAGGGCGGGAGUUCCUUGCCUUAUAUAUACGUGGCCUGGUAUGCAAUGAAGAUGCUUGGGCUAGCAGCCAUCGAUUGAGGCCUGAAUAAUUCACAGAGAGCCAAGGAAAAUGCCAGGGUCCGUGUCCCCGGGGGAAACGCAGGAUAAAUAAGGUAGCGGCCAGGGGUGGAGAGUCCUGAAUCCUGCGUGGACCCUCGGGGUUGGCCGCUCACAUUACCAACCCACCUAAAAAUACUGCUUACUUUUCCCAUAUUUUCCUUGGCCCUUGGCAAAAUCUAGGCGGUGACUUUUUAUUUUCCAAAAUCCAUUUCGUUAUGCUAAAGACAAUAAAGCGUGACAGAUAAUUAGAUUAAACUAAUUUUGGUUUCGCUUUUUUAUUGGCAAUCAGUGACGAAACGAAGUCCCUUUCUUGUUUUGCCAUUUGGUUAAUAAUUUUAUUAGUGCUUCCCUUGUCAAAGUGGCGGAGUUGACAGUCGAUUGCCGCAUUGCAACACUGGCGGAAUAUAUUUUUGUAUCUGUGGACCGAUGUCCCUUUAUCGGGAUGUGUGUGCGAAAAGCAAAUAAUUAAUAAUUCAUGCAACACGAUUGACAGUGCGCCCCAGUUGAACUCGCUGCUCCUUUUUUCCUGUUUCUGCUGUGCUGUACUUUGCCUCCUUUUUAUUUGUGGCACGCUCAUAAAUUUACAAUUACACAUGCCAGAGUGGAGUCGGCGGUGCGCCGUUGCCUCCUUUUGCGUUGUUUUUAAUUUAAUAAAUUAAUAAAACGGCAAACGUGACAACACUGGCAACACUGGCAUCAAAGUGGCAAAGUGUUGCCAUUUGCAUUUUUAAUGCACUUUACCCUGCAACUCGGCGCGUAAAAAUAAUUAUCAACUGAAUCGACGAUGAGUUGGCGAAACAGAGAGACAGCGGGGCGAAUGCAGCGAAAUUUUUAAUUGAAUUUUCUCAACAUGCGUGUCAACUCUGACACUCUGUCAAAAGCACACCGUCUAUUUCAGUUCCACAAAUUCAAUUUCACUUUCAAUUGCCGUUAAUUGCCGGCCUCCAGCUAGAAAGGGACCAAACAAAAAAAAAAAAGAAGAGUGGAAGACCGAAUUUAAGCUUCAGCACGGACAGUCUGUAAGAGCGGCGGAAAAUCGUACUUUUCCUUUUGGCACAGUUUAACACACAAUGCCGGCGACUCCGGAGCGGAGCAGCUCCUCUUCGGCUCACCGGCUCACCUGCUGAACGCAGUUAACCCCAAUUACGGGCACAAAGACCCGGCCCAGACAGACAGCCAACUAGUAGCUGGCAGUAGUUAAAAUAUUUAAGCCACAACAGCGAGGAGAAAAAUUUUUUUUUUCACUCCGGCUGACCAAGACGAAGACGUCCAGCAACUGGUUGCUCUUUGGCUUAAUUAAAAGCUGCAGCAAAGCCCGGGAUUGUUCCACGGAUUCGGAUUCAGACUGGAAUUGAAUCGCAUCGAAUCGAAUUGAAUCGGAUCGGACGGGAUGCGUUGCAAUGUGAUGCGAGGCGAGGCGAGGCGGUGUGUGUUGCCUUUUAUUUGCUUUUCAUGCUGCGGUCGCUGAAAUGACACUACAAUGUCUUCGAAAUGAAAAUAAAUACGCUGAAGUCGGGACUUGGGACCUGAGUGAAGACCGCGACAACAUGAGGCAGCAACAUUGGCAACAACACAGUCCAGCGUCGACAGUCCGACCUGGCUACAUGUUACACAUUAAACCGCAUCGGUAUUGUGUCUCGUCGAUUUGAGGUGUAUAAAUACAGUUGAGGCCAAAAUAGUAGUACUUGGAUAUUGACGUUUAAAGGAAUUAGUCAUUACAAAGUUUUGGGAGAACAUAAAUUUCCUGAUUUCAAAAUUACUCAGGUUUGCUUAAAUUUAAUUUGUAAAACGUUAAUUAUUUCUGUCACUUAAGCACCAACAUGUAACCGAGAGAAAUAUAAAAAGCAUUUCCAUUUAGGUAAACUAUUUUUUUUUCUUUUUAAUUUUUAGCCCAUUAUCGUUAACUAUUAUUUUGACUGCUACUGUGUUUAUAUAUCCUCUUUUUUUGUUCUGUUUGCCUUUGAGAUUUCGCAGCCAAGCGCAACGGCCGACCCAACUCGGCUGACAAUGACUUUGCCCUUUUUCGCCGGGUUUUUAUUGCGGCCGCCGCGCUGUGUUUUAUAAAUCUCAUUUUCAAGAGGAUUUGUGUGCCUGUCAAAAUGUUGAUGUUUCACAAAACACUCGCCCUCUCGAAGCUGCAGACGCGGCUGCUCUGCUCGAUUUCAAUCAUGAUCGAUUUCAUUUUCAGCUUCGGAUUGUUUUUUUUGCCCCGGCUCUUCGGUGCGCGUUUUGAUCGCCGCUGUCUGGGAAUUAUACGAUUCCGCUGCAUUGAAUUACCCCGUCAAUGUCGACGGACUUGGCCCAACUGACUCUGACUUUUGCGGUCUUUAGCUCUUGGCGCAGCGGCCAAAUUACAACAAUUUGUUUGCCUUAUAAAGUUAAGCCCAGAACAAAGGCCCAACACACAAUCAUCAUUAUCGAAAUGUCAUAAAACCAAAUGAGCGGGCAUUAUUCAAUUUUAAACAACGAACCGGGCAUCAUCAGCCUCGUUCUCGUUCUCAUUCUCAUCCUCAUCCUCAUCUUGUUUUUAUCCCAACGGAAGCUGAAGCGGCAGCAGCUGCCAAACAACUUAAUACAGACAAAAGCCCUGAGAAGGCAUCCCGGAUGGAUGGAAUGGAUGCCAAAUUCCUGGCCAGCCGAAAUAAAUGUUUCAACUGCCUCGGAUGCCCUUUCACUGCGCCUCCAAGUAAAUACUUGCGCAAGUACAAAAAAAAAAAAAAAAAAGAAAAAUAAGAAACAAACAAACAGCCAAAAAUUAAGCAUAAUUACUGACAGCAAUCGAGGCGGCCCCACACACAGGCGGCGGCCAAAACCAAGGGCUACGUGAAGGCAGCCCAGGAUCUCAGACUAAAACUCAAGGCGGCACUGGCAAAAAAGGUGUUAGAAAACAUAAAGAAUAAAAUCUUUAGAAAAAGUGAAGUAAAUUAAAUGUAUACCAAUAUAAUUGAGAAGCAAGAAUGAUAACUUAGUUAAUAAUCUUACAUACUUUCUGUAGAGAAACUGCAAUGGAUUUAUCUUCAAAAUAUUCUACGUUUAAAUAAACGAAUUUUUUUCAAGUGUUGGGCUGGGCCAAAACGUUUUCAUUAAAAUUGCUGCCUUGGCCAAUCUGCGAGCCACGCACAACAAGAGCAGCAGGAGAAUAAAACUAAAAAAAAUGGAAAAACACGCCGAGCUCGCUCCGUAAAAUUGCAAUUUGGCCGGCGAACGAAACGGAGUGAGACAAUUAUAAGCAUGACAAAUGAAUUUCGCAUUGGGGCCGGUGUUUCCAGUGCCCUUGCCCAUGCCCGAGUUCCCAGGAAAACUGUCAGUGGAGGAUCAGUGGCGUUGAGACAGAUUCGAAAGAUCUGGAGGAUCGGGUCGCAGCUGUUGCCGCCGGGCACACACCUUCAACUCGUUGAGUUUUUGCAUCUCGGCUCGUUGCCUUUGAGUUUAAGUUUGCGUUUGCGUUUGGGUUUUCGUUUCGUUUCGUUUCGGUUCGUGCGUGCUGCGUUUUAUAUGAAUAAUUGCAUCAAGAUUUUUGCCAACUCUUUUGCGGUCGAUUGCGGCAGCUGCCCCAACUGCACUGGACAUCAUUUCUGUGGCCGUCCAAGCCACCCACCUCAUCUUCACACAUUUUGUUGGUUAUCCUUUGGCAUGUCGACGCUUUUUGCAUCUUUCAUGACGAAACCAUUUCAUGUUUUUGUUCCCAUUUUUUUUUUGGUACGGGAUACCGAAAUUUUGCAUAUUUUUGGCAUUGAAAGCGGUCCAAGAAUUACAAGCAAAGCGAGAUGAAACAGAUGUGUAUAGAAAGGAUAGGAAGGAUAAGCUAAUAUCGAUUUGUAUUUGAAAUAAAAUUAAAAAAAAAGAACCCUUUUUAAUUUAA